rnacentral:Y_RNA from 1 species
GGCUGGGCCGAAGGUAGGGAGUUAUCUCACUUGAUUGUUCAUAGUCAGUUACAGAUUGAACUCCUUGUUCUACUAUUAAUAAUUUCCCCCCUUCUCACUACUGCACUUGACUAGUCAAAA